CACCUGUUUGCGGGAGAGAGCAGCAUCCGCUGCCGCCGAAGGGGAAAUCGCCCGAAAUCUCUCAGGCAAAAGAACCGUAAACAGGAA
rfam:Mesorhizobium sp. TASWS1009 40, whole genome shotgun sequence.